rnacentral:rRNA from 1 species
AUUGAACGCUGGCGGCAGGCCUAACACAUGCAAGUCGAGCGAGCGGCGAACGGGUGAGUAAUGUCUGGGAAACUGCCUGAUGGCGGGGGAUAACUACUGGAAACGGGAGCUAAUACCGCAUACCAUCAGAUGUGCCCAGACGGGAAUAGCUAGUGGGUGGGGUAACGGCUUACCUAGGCAUCGAUCCCUAGCUGGUCUGAGCGGGUGACCAGCCACACUGGAACUGAGACACGGUCCAGACUCCUACGGGAGGCAGCAGUAGGGAAUAUUGCGCAAUGGGCGAAAGCCUGAUGCAGCCAUGCCGCGUUAGUGAAGAAGGCCUUCGGAGUGUAAAGCUCUUUCAGCGGGGAAGCGUUACCCACACAGAAAGCAACGGCUAACUCCGUGCCAGCAGCCGCGGUAAUUC